GAGAAGCCGGUUCGCGGAGAGGAGUUAGACCGGAGAGGAAGAGCGAGGGAGACCGGGGAGGGAGCCCCGAGGAGCGGUCAGCAGCGCGGGGUGGGGACCGGACAACCGGAUGCUCUCACCGGAGCGUUUUAAACCGCUUUAUCUUUAGACAUUUAAACGCUAGUACUCGGAGUGCAGGGGACACACGGCGGCGGUGUGGUGAGGGGGAAACUUCGAGUGUCGUCGUCACCUCUGGAAGUGUCAGAAAACAGAGUUAAGGUGUGGCUGAGUGUGUGUGUGUGUGGUGUGUGUGUCUGUCUGUGUGUGUCAGGCUCUGAAACACGAGCGGACACACACUCGGUCUCGAACAUCUACUAGCGGCUCCAAACAGCCUCCACACUAGUUUCCAUUAAGGAACACAUUACAUAACUAACGUAUUUCCAUCUCGACGCGUAAAAUUCCUCCUCCUCCUCCUCCUCCUCCUCCUCCUCCGCAGAAGAUCAUAGAUCCACCAGACUGUUCCGCUGUUUAAGAAGAAAGUCGAGCGUUUUUCUUUUCUUUUCUCGGGUGUGAAAUUUAACGGACGUGGCAACUUCGCAGCCGCCGACCCUCUGCUGCUGAACGCCACAGGCGCAAAACUGGGCGUGGGGGGUGAGAAGAGUCCGGACUGAGGCUGAUGAUCCUCAUGUACCAUUUGCGCAGAAAAUCCCGCAAUAUUAGCGUAAGUGACGAGAGCCUCGUUGUGGAUUGACGUGGAUCAAAGUCUCACCAUCAGGAUCUACUGUUCCUUCCUGGAGUCUACAGAGGUGUUAAUUAUCGGAGAUGUGCCCCACCAGUGCCACUGACCCUGGGUGGCCUGUACCUGUGCUCCUGCCAGCUGUUGUGCCAGAUGUGCAUGGUGAGAAGGCAGAAGAGCAUCCCAGAAAGAGACAAACUGGCAGCUGCUGCAAACAGAGGGGAGCACGAUCAAAGCAGGGCUGGGUCAACCUACAACACAUCAGUCAUACAGCAAAUAUCUUACAACAAACUGUGAGGAUCUUGACAGUUAGUUGACGUACGAUAUAAGGAUGAAUGUGUUGUUCUGUAGCCUGCUGCUAUGUGAGGUCUCUGAUAUUACUGUAUCUCCUUGAAUAAAAGUAGGCCCAUGUCCUCAACUAAAUGAU